rnacentral:lncRNA from 1 species
CACAAGGCUCCAAAGUAGAAGUCUUCCAAUGGUGAUCCACAUUGGACAGAUCAGGAUCCUACCCAAUUCGACGUAGUGCUGCAGCCAUCUUCACAAAUCCACUGCCAAUCGUCCUUCUCAAAAAUAGAUUGCACCACUGCCUGUAAGCCUUCAAAACCUCCAUUAGAACUACACUAGAGAACUUUUCUCCAAAGAUCUCACCACACAAAAGUCAGAUUUUAGAUGUUCAACACUUGAACAAUCUGAAUUUUAAGACAAGCAUC